AAAUUUCAGAGACAGAAGAAAUCUUCCUUUGAGGGCAGUGAUACACUUAUGUGAGAUUUUGAAAAGUGAAAAAUCAAAGGUGGAAUUGACCAAUAGAUGUAAAAGUACAACAAAUAAACAAAAAUGGCAAUGUUGAAAGUGAAACUGAAAUUCAACAGAAAUAAAAGAAAUAGCAGACUGGGGGGAUAUUGACUUUGACACCAUGAUGCCAGAGGAACUUAGUAAUGGCAAACUUAUCAAUAUAAAAUGAGGAUAUUGGUUGUCAACUAGGUUGUGUGGUGGUCCUUGAUCUUGUCCAUCAAGUCCUUUUUCCCAAAGGAUAACUGAAGAAGAUCACAUACAUUCCAACUUAUUGAGUCUGAUAGGUAUUCAUCUGAUGAGCUCCUCUUCAACUGAGGAUUGAAAUGCUGUUUUUCUUCCCUGGUACAAUGUUAAAGCUUUAAACUCUCGUCAAUGAUGUGAUGUUUCAUCUGCAAUGAUCUACACUAGAAAAAUAAAGAUGUAGUUACUGACAAAAAAGCAGGAACUACUGCUCUAAGGAAAAAAAGGAGAGCUACAUGAGGACCACACAACUCCUGGAAGAGGUUUCCCUGGCAACACAACUUUUCCAUUCCUCUGGUUGCAGUGUUUUCAUCCAGUAGCCUGUCACCUCACUCAAAAGCAGGGCAAUGGAGAGAAAGAAACUUAUCAAGUUUUUUCUUUUAACUAGAGAGUAGCCUACUUAUUGGGUCCUGCAAUUAAUUUCAGUACUCCUGGCAGAUUUAUAAAGGAAGCUGCUGGAAGGAAUUCAUUCCCUUUUUGCUGUUCUGCCUUCCACCUUCCACUGUGUGAGGACACUGCAAGAAAGCCCUCAUCAGACACCAACCGCCAGCACCUAGAUCUUGGAAUUCUCAGCCUCCAGAACUGUGAGAAAUACGUUUCUAUUUUUCUAUAAAAUAAUAAUAAAAAAAACUUCCAUGCAGGAAAAAAAAAUCAAGUUCAAAGGUCCUGUGGUGAGGGCAUGCCAGCUUUGUUUGAGAAGCAGUAAUCAUGCCUGUGUGACUGUAAUGAAAGAAUAAAAGAGAAAUGAGCACAGAAGAAUAUAA
rnacentral:lncRNA from 1 species